AAAUCCCCAAGCUGUACAUGCCAGCAUCUUCUGAUCAGUGAAAGAUCAGCAGUUACGUUCUGAUUAUUCUGCACUGUGUGUAGGAGAUGUGUAUACCAUGACAACAAAAUAUCCUUGAUGCUGCCCAGGACAGCAUUGCCAGGAUGACUAAGGGAAUGAUGGUGAAGGCAUGAAAGGUAGAAUAGUCACUAAAACAAGCCGCAGAGAAAAGAAGAGAGAGCCAACAGAAAAGUACCAUGAGUUCACCCCAAGACAAGUGCAACUCCUUAGUGCAAACGGGAGACACGUGAACAAGGGGAAGGGCUCCUCAAAUCUUUACAGCAACAUAAGGAUACCCCAGUGCUGAGAAUGGAUGACUGCAUCACAGACCAUACCCAGAGCCCUGUGAUCUGAAGAGGUCACCCUUAAAGUGUUUGUAAUAUAACUGUAAAGGAGCACGGAGUUAGAAAGGCAAGAAGGGAACUUGUCAACCCCAUUGGAUUGCCAUUGGUUAGAACGAAGAAACUUUGGAGUGGCCUGUGGAGUAAGCCAGCUGCAGUGAACAGAAGGGGGUCUUUAAGCACGCUGUUCUUUAAGAACAGAUUUAGACUGGAAUCUGCAUGAUUAGGGUCUAUCAUUAUUUCUCUUAUUCUUCCAUAUAAUGGAGAACCUGUUCCACAGGAUGAAAAGGAGGAGGGAAAGAAAAGUGGUCUGCAUGAGACUAAUUCUGUUCUCAUUCACCCUGGUGUAAAUAGAGAGGCACGUCAGUGGCUUCAAUAGAAUUACACUGGUGUAAUUGAGAGCAGAAUUUCUCCCAAUGUCUUUAUUGAUUGAAUUACAAACUAGCACUUCUGGAAUGGCUGACUUUUCCAGUAAAUUGUAUUUAUCUUAUGCUAUUCUUUCUGCAGCAUCUCUAUACUUUUUGCUUUUUAAGAUGCAUGACCAUGUGGAUUGACUAAUCUCCACAUGCACAAGAACUCUGGACUAUGACUUCUGCAUGCUACUUAUCUGCGGGACUAUGGCACUGUACUCUAGCCUGCAGUGCAGGUUUAUGAUUGCUCAUUUCAUGGGAUAUCAGAGACUGUCAUAAAACGUUAACCUUAUCAACUUUAAUCUACCAAAACAAAGGUUAAAAGUAUGAUUGUUUUCCAAAAUCUGGUGCAUUAUUUGUUUGAACAGUGUAACAGGGUAUAGCAGGGCCCCCUUUGCUCCUGCCUCUGCUCCAAAAACCACUCAGAGACCCUCAGGUUCAGCAAUCACUGGUGGAGUUUAUUUGCAAGGUUCAAUGCCACCACCUUCUCACCGUCUACAGCUUGGAGGUUUCAGCCUUAAGAGCGUCUCAGUCUCCACAACCAGGAGGGAAGCACUAACACUCUCCUUCCUCUCUCUAACUUCCCCUUGCUUCCUUCCUCUGGGCCUGUCUAUAACCCCAGGCUAAUUAGGCUGGCAGCUGUUUCCCCUUCACCAGUCAGGCACAGGUUUCUCUAGCCAGCUCCAAUUUACCUUCCUUAAUUGGAGCUGGCAUAACAGAACGCUGGCUCAGGAGUCCCAGCCCAGCACUCUGUAACAAACAAUAUUGUCUGUCUAAUUUGGGAACAACUGAGUACUAAUUCCAGAUCUGGCUCACUCUGUGAAAGUCACUUAACCUUUUUGCCUCAGUUUCCCAAAGAGGGACAUGAGUGUUAAUAUAUCUGUAAAGGCCCCUGAAGAUGAAAAGAACUACAGGUAAAAUUCCCCCUGUGCAGAGGUCUACCCAAGGUCACAACACCACUUACAUCCCACUUAAAUUCUUGAAAUAAAAUUUGUUCCAAAGAGCUGAACUGGAGCUUAAAUGGUGCAUAAGCCUCAUGUGGGUCCUACAUAAAUUACAAUGAUUUGGACAUGUAUAUGUGCAUAUUUAUUUGUUUUUCCUAAAGUUAAUUAAGUAUUUUAGGAAAAAUUGUCAGAGUGUUUGCUGGUGGCCACACUCUGAGACCACCCAAAAAAUUGUUGUGAGAACCCCUGGGGCCCAUGUACCUAACUUCGCGUUGUCCCUGUCAUAGGGUUAGCUGGGCCCAUUAAGGGAGUCCAGGCCCAGGCUACCCAUGACAAGCUAUUUUAAGGGGAAUGAGUAUUUCUAGGCAGUUAACUGAAUAACAAGCACCUUGGCCUGACAAAAUGCCAUCUGGGCUCAUUUGUAGGGAGGUCCUCAGAGAGAGAAGCUCUUUGAAGUGAGAGGAGCUACCGGAGACCACAGGUCCCAAUGACAAGGGCUGUGCAAGGCCUGAGCCAAAGGAAAAGACUUUAUUUCAAGUGUAUUUAUAUUUAAUGAAGUAGAACCACAGCAGGGGAAUUUUGUCUUACAAACUUUUGGACUGUGUAGAGUUCUUAAGGGACCCUGAGAGAAGGGAAACUGAGGCAGGAAGUGCUGCGGUGCCACACUAGGUCAGCAGGGGGUGCUACAGGGUAGGCAUAGCCCUGAAACAGUACCCUGAGAUGUUUUAUUUUCCUGUGUGUGCUCCUAUAAAUACUCUUUCAAAGGUCUGCAUGGUUGUAAUUUAGGCCUUCGGCCAUCUAUUCUGCAUAUUUAAUAUCCUUCUACAUAAACAAUAUUCUCCUGAAUACACUCAAAUACCCAUUUGUCCAACUAAGGCACCCUUCUGUCCUCACUAUAAUACUAACUUCAUUUUAGUAUAUAGCAUUUGUUUUCAGGCAGGGAGCAUGAAACAAAAAUCAUCUAAAUCAGCUUUCAUGGGGAAAAUACACUGAAAUUAAUUGUAAAUUUUUGUUACUAUUAUAAUUAGCAAAACAGAUGACUAGGGAAUAGACACUUAUUUUAGUAUAUUUGCAAAAUGUGUUGAAGUAAACCCUAGAUUACUGUAAUAAAAUGCAUCUGAAGCUUUGGGCAUGGAAUUGUUAGAAUAAUCUAAAAUGUGGCUUUAAAAUGGAUUCUAAUUCUAUUCACUUCAAAUCAGGUUCUGCAUGACUAAUUCCUGUUUGUCUUUUCAUUCCCUGGUGUACCUGAUGUUUCUCUUUUGGAAUUCAAAAUGUUGUUGUGGUCAAUCUAUAAAUCUUUCUAAAAAAGAAAACUAUCAAUUGUAAAAAUACUCUAAUUUUCCUCAAAGCUGCUGUUAAACCACCAAAUGAGAACAGGCGGGGAAAAAAACUGGCAGGAGUGAUCUAAAUGGCUCUAUUUUUAUUUCUCUGAAAUUUAAAUACUGUGGCAAAACAGUAAUCACACCCUAUUUAACUCAGAUGUUAUAUCUUAAUGUUUCCUCAAAUCAAAGCAUAUCCUUCUGCCAUCAAAUACUUGUGCUGUGCUGUUGACAAAAUAAUGUGCUGAAUAUGUCAUCACAGAUGUUUUGCUGGGGUAACUCUUAUUAUAUGUUAUUUUUUGUUUUGUACACAAGAUGCAGUCUGGGGGCAUUCUGUGCCCUUUUACACUUCAUAGCGGGACUAUGCUAUAAUCGUUGAUGUUUGGUAAUACUGAAAAUAAAAUAAAAGGUGUGUCAGCAAGGGAA